AGGAUCAUUAUCAAAAAUAAUUCAUUAUUUUUUGAAAUCUUUUUCCAAUUUCCCUUGUCUAUCUACUCCAUGUUGCUUCCACUAGACAGGUAUAUAUUAUUAAAAAUUGGACUAAAAAUCUAAUUUUCAAGAAUAUUUGCCCUUUAAUUCCUUAACGGGGUUGAAGAAUAGUCGGUGGAUAGCCUUUUAUCAAGAUAAAAACUUUUUUUUUUAAAAAACAUAGUCUGAUUAAACUAGUAUUUGUUUUAAAUAAAAAAAAACUUUCAACAACGGAUCUCUAGGCUCUUGCAUCGAUGAAGAACGCAGUGAAAUGUGAUAAGUAAUGUGAAUUGCAGAAUCUCGUGAAUCAUUGAAUCUUUGAACGCACAUUGCGCCCAAUGGUAUUCCACUGGGCAUACCUGUUUGAGUGUCAGAAGCCUCACAAUUAUCAGACUGUUAUACGUGUGCUAGAAACAUCCGUAUAAUGAUGUUUGGAAUGCUAUUGAGAAUAGUAGUAUAUAUUGAAAUACUACGUUCUUAAAAAUCAACAAGAUUUUUGUUUUGAUUUUUAAUCAACUCGUUUUGUAUAUAACAAAUGGGUAUGAUUGAAAGCAACAAUACUGUAUUUUGGAUGACCUCAAAUCAGGUAGGGAUACCCGCUGAACUUAAGCAUAUCAAUAAGCGGAGGAAAAGAAACCAACAGGGAUUGCCUUAGUAACGGCGAGUGAAGCGGCAAAAGCUCAGAUUUGAAAUCUGGUGUAGUAAAUGACACCCGAGUUGUAAUCUGUAGAGGAGUUUUCGGAGAAUGACUUUGGUUAAAGUUCCUUGGAAAAGGGCAUCAUAGAGGGUGAGAAUCCUGUUUAUGACCUUUGUACUUCUCCUUUAUGAAUCUCCUUCAAUGAGUCGAGUUGUUUGGGAAUGCAGCUCUAAAUGGGUGGUAAAUUCCAUCUAAAGCUAAAUAUUGGCAAGAGACCGAUAGCGCACAAGUAGAGUGAUCGAAAGAUGAAAAGAACUCUGAACAGAGAGUUAAAGAGUACGUGAAAUUGUUGAAAGGGAAGCACUUGUGACCAGACAAAUUUGCAAUUAAUCAGCCAUCAGUUUUGGUGGUGCACUUGAUUGUAGAUGGGUCAGCAUCAGUUAUAGCAGUGGGACAAAGAUCAAAAGAAUGUAGCUCCUCUUUGAGGAGUGUUAUAGCUUUUGGUUUAAUACCGCUUGCCAUAACUGAGGAUAGCACUUA
rnacentral:rRNA from 1 species